UGACUUAAUGCUUUCAUAUUCAUGUUAAUGCUUUGAAAAUUAUCUUAUUUCUUUCAGAAUCUUUUGAUAAUAUUGCCCAAUGCAACAAAUGGAAAAAGCAUGCUUUAUGACAACCUCAGCAGCAGAACCCAUGACUUUCUCCUGGGUAGACGAGACAAAAAAGUUUGGUAUCAACACCCAUCUAACAAUUAAGAAAGUUAUCUGCAGCCACACAUCCACUGUAUACCAAGUUAUGAUGAUCAAUUAUGAAAAUGCAAAAGGAUUGAUAGAUCAGUAAACAAGCAACAAAAAGAUGGGUGCUCAUGGUGGCCUCCAAAUAAAUACAUGGACAGGCUGCUAAAGAGGGUCAGGAUGAUGGAGAUGCAAGAGCCAAAGACAGCACAGACCAAACACCAGGCCAGAAUUCUGCAUGAGUCAGAUUGAGUAAUUUUCACUCUAGAGACCCUGGGGUGACCACCAAGGACGAAUGCAAACUCCAGUGAGUGUCUCUAAGGUAGAUCCUAAUGCAGAUGGAUGGAAUGUUGAUCCGCCUAACAUGCAAGGUAAAAGAGCAUUUGAUAGCAUAGUGGAUAAACAAAGCUUUUUUCAUUUUCAGAGCAUUUUCAAAAACAACAUAACACUUGCUAUUACAUUGUUAUAUAUUACAUGACCAUGUCUAACUCUGAUCCAUACAAAACAGAUUUUCUGUACCGAGAACUUUGGAUGACCACGUUUUCAAAAAUCUGACCUCAAUUUUAGUAACCAUUUAGAUAUUUUAGAUGUAGUCCGAGAGCUUGCUGCCCCUCCA